AGCGAACGCUGGUGGCAGGCCUAACACAUGCAAGUCGAACGAACCUUUCGGGGUUAGUGGCGGACGGGUGAGUAACACGUGGGAACGUGCCUUUAGGUUCGGAAUAACUCAGGGAAACUUGUGCUAAUACCGACUGUGCCCUUCGGGGGGAAGAUUUAUCGCCUUUAGAGCGGCCUGCGUCCGAUUAGCUAGUUGGUUGAGGUAAUGGCUCACCAAGGCGACGAUCAGUAGCUGGUCUGAGAGGAUGAUCAGCCACAUUGGGACUGAGACACGGCGCAAACUCCUACGGGAGGCAGCAGUGGGGAAUCUUGCGCAAUGGGCGAAAGCCUGACGCAGCCAUGCCGCGUGAAUGAUGAAGGUCGUAGGAUUGUAAAAUUCUUUCACCGGGGACGAUAAUGACGGUACCCGGAGAAGAAGCCCCGGCUAACUUCGUG
rnacentral:rRNA from 1 species